AACGAACGCUGGCGGCAUGCCUAACACAUGCAAGUCGAACGAGACCUUCGGGUCUAGUGGCGCACGGGUGCGUAACGCGUGGGAACCUGCCCUUAGGUUCGGAAUAACUCCCCGAAAGGGGUGCUAAUACCGGAUAAUGUCUUCGGACCAAAGAUUUAUCGCCUUUGGAUGGGCCCGCGUUGGAUUAGCUAGUUGGUAGGGUAAAAGCCUACCAAGGCGACGAUCCAUAGCUGGUCUGAGAGGAUGAUCAGCCACACUGGGACUGAGACACGGCCCAGACUCCUACGGGAGGCAGCAGUGGGGAAUAUUGGACAAUGGGCGAAAGCCUGAUCCAGCAAUGCCGCGUAAGUGAUGAAGGCCUUAGGGUUGUAAAGCUCUUUUACCCGGGAUGAUAAUGACGGUACCGGGAGAAUAAGCUCCGGCUAACUCCGUG
rnacentral:rRNA from 1 species